rnacentral:rRNA from 1 species
UUGCGGUUAAAAAGCUCGUAGUUAGAUUUCUGUCGGUGAGUGGUGCUCCGCCCCUUGUGGUGAGUAGUCGUCAUGUUGCCGGCAUCUUCUUGGGGAGUGUGUCUGCACUUCACUGUGUGGCGCACAAGCCAGGACAUUUACUUUGAGGAAAUGAGAGUGUUUCAAGCAGGCGCACGCCGUGAAUACGUUAGCAUGGAAUAAUAGCAUCGGACCUCGCUCCAAAGCCGUUGGUUUCUUGGGUCGAGGUAAAGGUGAAUAGGGAUUGUUGGGGGCAUUCGUAUUUAACUGUCAGAGGUGAAAUUCUUGGAUUUGUUGAAGACGGACUACUGCGAAAGCAUCUGCCAAAGAUAUUCUCAUUGACCAAGAACGAAAGUUAGGUGAUCGAAGACGAUCAGAUACCGUCCUAGUCUUAACCAUAAACUAUGCCGACUGGAGAUAGGGGGUCGUUAAAUUGGUGACGCCUUCUGCAUCUUGAGAGAAAUCAAAGUCUUUGGGUUCCGGGGGGAGUAUGGU